ACGAAGUAAAGUAGUCCAUUCUUUAUUCUUAUGGAAGAGAUUAACUACUUUUAAGAAAGGUGUAUUCUAGAACAAAAAUUCAUUUUUUAGUUAUAAGCAUUUUUUUUGUUAGGCAAUCAGCGCACUUUUUAUCUUCUCUAUAAAUUUGUAUAAAUUUUAUAUUCAAAUUCCUAUUUUUGCAGUUCAAAAUUUUUUCUUACAAGUGUAUUUGGGUGCUUGCUAAGAUUGUUCCUUUCAUUUAUCAGGCUUAUCACCGAAGCGGCAUCACCUUCCACUAUCAAAUUUCGCACACCCAUCGUCCAUGCAAGCUUCAGCUCCUACACAAUAUCCCACAGCUCUCUGCCUUCUAAAAAGUUUUUUCUUUGUCAAGAAUAUCUUCAAGCUCCUUGUUAAAAUCUUGCUCCAGCUUGUCUAGCUGAUCUUGCACCUUAGUGGAUGGUUGGUGCUUGUGUGGAGCCCCCAAGGCACCUCCAUCGCCAUUCAUGGUAGCAAAAACGAAGGGAAGCUCAAAAUAUACGAAAAGAAAAUGCAGCGGCUAAUUUUUGUGGAUUGAAUUUGUUUAUUGUUGACCAAUCCCUUAUAUUUUUUGUGUACCCAAAGAAAAGAAAACUACAUGUUCCACUAUAUGAACAGAUCUUUCAACAAACUAUAAGCAGUGUUGUCAAAAUCGGACCGAACCAGCCAUGUGAUCGGUCCGGAUAAUGCACACAACAAGAUAAGGAAAAAAAUCGGAAGGAAUCGAUUUGAACCGGUCAGUUUGGUAAAAAACCGGCAAGCCAGUCGGAUUUUAAAACCCGGACCGGUUUGAAUUGAAAAAAAUUUAAAAAAAAGACCCUAUUUGCCCAUCCCCAAAUAUAGCACUACUCUCCCGUUCUCCUUCCCUUCAGAGUUCAAAGAGACUGAGACUUCCCCCCAUCUUUGUCUCUUUCAAGCUUUAGCUUCACCUUGCUACUCUCCCCCAUUCUCCAAUUCGUGACUUCGUCUUUCCUGUCCUCCUGAAGAACCGAACAGCUGAAUCCACCUUCCAAAACGGUAGUCAUCCCAACUCUGUCUCUGUCACCUCGGUUCACUGCCACGGCACCACCACACACUCAGCUCUGUUGCCACACCUCUCGCUGGAUCUACCAGCUCUCCUCCCUCGCGUCUCCUCCUUCAGCCGCCUGCGUCUCGCUUGCGUCUCUGUCUCUAUCUCUGUCUCAAAUAACAUAUAUAAAUUUUUUUGUUUAUAAAAUUACUAAGAAAGAAAGAAAAUUAUACAGGUACUAUUUUUAUCUGCAUCAAAAGUGGUCUAUCUUCUUUUUUUUAUAUUAAAAC